rnacentral:rRNA from 1 species
CAGCAGCCGCGGGAAUACGUAGGGUGCAAGCGUUAUCCGGAAUUAUUGGGCGUAAAGAGCUCGUAGGCGGUUUGUCGCGUCUGCUGUGAAAACUGGAGGCUCAACCUCCAGCCUGCAGUGGGUACGGGCAAACUAGAGUGCGGUAGGGGAGAUUGGAAUUCCUGGUGUAGCGGUGGAAUGCGCAGAUAUCAGGAGGAACACCGAUGGCGAAGGCAGAUCUCUGGGCCGUAACUGACGCUGAGGAGCGAAAGCAUGGGGAGCGAACAGGAUUAGAUACCCCCGUAGUCCCUGUCUCUUAUAC